AAACGAUUGAAGUCAGUCAUGCUUUCCGAGACUCAGCCGGUUCUGCCGGUGUACUUCUCGGUUUGCAGGCCAGCAUCAGUUUUGGGCGGUGGAAAAGGUUGGCGGGAAUGUGGCAUCCUCGGAUGUGUUAUAGCCCGCUUUCGAAUACAUCGCCCGGGACUGAGGAACGCAGCACGCCUCUUGUAGGUCGGUCUUCGGACACGUCCGUGCUUAGGAUGCUGGCAUAAUGGCUUUAAACGA
rnacentral:rRNA from 1 species